AUGACCUUACAUGAGUUAAUAGCUGGACUCUAUAGCUUCAUUAAAUCAAUUAAUUACACCGAGAUUUUAGAGAAAGUAUGGAUCCGAAGUUCAAAACCAUAUCCAAUUAGCUUGUCUCUCAGAAAACUACAAGGAUUGCUAAAGGAUGAUUUACCCAUGGACCGUGAUUGCUUUAAUUUGAUCGUACGGAAGAUUAUGUUGGAUGACAUCCAAACAUCACAAAAAACAAAGCAACUGAUAGCAAAGCAUUAUCUCGACAUGAAAUUUUGGAUGACUACUGAUUUUGGAAGGCACCCAGAUUUUCGUAAAAAGUUAGAUGUGGAGCAACUAGCAAAUUCUGUUCGUAGUUGGCCUGGUAUCAAAUAUAAUGUUUCAACAUGCAAAUCGAUCCAUAUUCCAGUACAAUGCAUUGAUGAAUUCAUUCUAUUCACAUUGGAUCAAGAUACGAGAACAGUGUACAUUUUGGACCCUACUCCUAUUAAUCCAAUGUACCGAUACAACCCACUCGCAAAAUAUGUGAAAAAAAUUAUAUGGAUUUCCGAACAUUUACCGAAAGCAAUGUCAAAAGCAUGCCCUGGGUCUAGAUGGAACGAGGAUAUUCUCUUAUGGCAUCAUAGAAUCCUAGAUGAUAUUCCAGUUUACAACAGGGAACUGUCUGGUUAUCUUGUUCCCCUAUUCAUGUCCACAUGGGAAGACGAAAGACCACAUUUGCCAUUUUAA
rnacentral:rRNA from 1 species